CGUCCACUAUAGAAGGGGCUGCUUGUCCCCUCCUCCUUCUCUUAUUCUUGCUUCUCUCUUGUGCCCUCUUGCUCCCAUCUCUCUCCACAUUCCCUUCUUCCCUCUCUUCUGUGGCCAAGACCAGCCUCUACUUCUCUACUCUCUCCGUCUCCAUGCUUUUCCCUGUCUCUACUACCCUCUUAGCUCCCGCUUCACAGACACUCCUCCCUGCAAAAGGUCGAUUAUGAUAUUUGGGAUUCUGCAGACCAUUUGCACCAUUGAGAAGAUUGGAACAAAUGAGUUGGCCACUUUCAGCUCACUCGUAAAAAUUUCCUGCAGGGCUCCUGUGUUCCUAGCUGCUUACAUUAGAUCAACGCUGCACUUGUUUUUCCUGCAUGGAUUUGUGUGCACCAGAAGAAUGCUUGGAGUCGGUGAAAAGGGAAACUGAUGAUCUGGAAUUGGAAUGGCAGAUGGUUGUGAGCCACCAUAUGGAUGCUCAGAACUGAACCUGGG
rnacentral:lncRNA from 1 species